rnacentral:lncRNA from 1 species
UGAAAAAACAAAUAGACUUGAAAUAAUUUCAUAAACAACAAGAAAUAAUUUUAUAAAGCCUUUUAAAAUCAUGUAGAACAUAUUUUUAUAUGCCAUGUUAUACUUAGCACUAAAAUUGUUUCUCUGUCUCCUUGUUUUACAAGGUUUUCUUUUACUAAGUAAAUGAACCCAUCAGAUUUUUCCAUUAUUUGGUGGGGAAUCAAGGAAAAAAGGAGGUCGGGGAGCUUUUGGCGGGGUGAGAAGUAGGACAUUAACAGAAAACAAAUAAGUAAUCACUCUGCUAAGCUUUCCUAUAUUGACCUCUGUGCACAGAUGUUCCAUUAGUUAUCUUCCAUUUGACGCAAGAACGGUGCUUGCAAAUGAAACGUCAAUGAGCUUGUUAAGCAAACAGAAAACGGAACUUACCUGUAAUUAGAAGUUAACAAGAAGCUUUUGAAAAUGUAUUAGUUCACAAGGAAGUCAAGAAAAAGAGGAAAAUUAUUUAUGUGAUCCCUAAUAGUAAAAUAUAUCAAAACAAAGGUAAAUUAAAAAUAGAGGAAUUUUCUAAAUUAAACUCAGGGCUGUCAGAUUAGAAAGACAAUAUAAAUGUAAUACAAUCUCUUUUCCAUUAAUGCUUAAAACUUGUCCUAUACUGACCUGUAAAUUUGCCCCACUGAUGAAAUGGAAUCUGAAAAUCGGGAUACAGAUACUCUGGGAAGAACUUCACCAGAUCAGCUCCAAAAACAUAUGUACUAUUAACAGGGGAAAUAUUGUGAACUGCAGUCUUUAAUAGAUAACAUUAAUCAAAAACAUUCCUGUGGGUAAAUUAUGUAAACUACGUUUCUCACCAACAAAAGCCUCUAUAAAUUUCAGACUGAUCUGAUGACAAUUUAUUUUUAAAUGCGUAAUUAUAUCAAGAUUGCCACCAUAAAGGCCUGAAUACAAUCUCUGAGCCUAAGAUCUUCCCCAUCUUUACCUCCGUUUCACAUUUGAUUGUACAUAUAUUUGAGAGAGCGUCACUCAUUAUUUGUUUUGGGAGUAGGUCUAUAACAUUGCACGUUUAUUGAGGGUAAGAAUCAAAUCUUUUACAGCUUCUAGCAUGCCUCUGUGCACCCAACAGACCCUCAAUAAAUAAUUUGUUACCCUACUUUGUCAUAAAAUAUAGGACAUACUUAGCUGUGCAGCACAAUGUGAUUUGAUCACACCCAACCUAUGAGUGGAUAAUAACAGCACUGAAUCUGUUUAAAAACAACAUUUUCUAUUCCCUUUUCGUCUUCAUAGUAUAUUCGUUUGGUUUCUAGUCAUGUUGGUUCUAUCCAUAUGUUUUUAGAUAACAGUACAAACUAUGUUGUGCCUAAGUAAAAUUAUACCAAAAAUGUUUAUGGGGAAAAGCUAAUGCACUGCUCUUAAUUUUAAGAUUUUAGACAUUUGAAAAUAUAAAUUGAGAUAUUGGACAGUGAGAGUUUUAUUUUGGAGGCUGGAGGAAAUUGAAGUAUCGGGGUGAGAUUGAUAGGCUCCUUUGGCUAGUUGUAUAUGGGGUUGGGGAGAAUAUACAAGUUUACAAAAUCUUGUAAAUUCUUGCAGUGCUUAGUUUUGUGACUUUACAAAAACUGUCAUUAUUUUUUCCUAGCUCUCAGUGGAGAAAUGUAAGCUGUGAGUUUAACAUCAUGUUUAUUGUGCUUUGGCCAGGAUUUUGCAAGCUUUUGUGGAAAAAAUUAUUUUGCUUUCCUUAUCCUGUUUGUAACAUAUAUAUCAAUAUGCUUCUUUGUAUUUUACUAUAGUAAAUUGUAUCUCUCAUAUAGAGAAAUAAGUCAGAGUGAAUUAAAAGAAAUCUUUACUCUGAGGUGGAAGCGUUGUCUAAUGGACCAUAUGUUUAAGCCUUGUUAAUUAAUCACACGAGAGCCCAGCGCAGCGGUGUGCGCCUGUAAUCCCAGCCACUUGGAGGGCUGAGGCAGGAGGAUUGCUUUAACCUAGGAUUUCAAAACCAGCCUGGGCAACAUAAUGAGACCCCAUCUCAGUCAAUCAACCAAUCAAUCAAUUACACUAAAAAGAGCAAGAUCUUAAAACUGUUCUAACAAAUGUCUGGGUGUCUGAAACAAUGAAAAGAGUUUAUGACAGAGUUACAGCAGUCAUCAGCGAAAAACCCUGGACAAAUUGCAAAUGUGUACCAGUUGUGAAUUGCUGACUGCAAUUGAAAACCAAAGUUAUUUUUGUACAGUCUUUUUGGGUGUAUUUGUGUUUAGUAAUAACUUGUUUGCAAAUUUAGAGGACUCUCGCUUUGAUUUCUUAGAGACUUUGAACUUGAGGAGCUCACAGUUUAAUAGAAGAGAGAACUAGAAACCAAGAUUAAAUGCAGAGAGUGAGGUUCUGCAGUACAGGGUGUACACAGGGUGCAGAAGCACUAUGGCACCGUGUCUGGCCUCAUGUUCUACUGCUCUAGACUUCCUGAAGUGCCAUUUCCUGAACCGACCUUUUUUUCCCGCCCUCUGGACCUCUGUCUGUAGGUGCCAUUCUCUCUCCUUGCAAGCCUUUUCCAUACCUUAUGUGCCUGGUAAAUUCUAUUUCUUCAAAAUCUUCUUGAAGCCUGCCUCUACCUCAUCCAAAUAAUUGUUGUGUCUACUUCUCUGUUAUGUCCUUAUAAUUACAGUCAAUUCUCGUUAUUUGCAGUAGUUAUAUUCUGUAAAGUUGCCUAGAACACUGAAUUAAAGAAAUACUAAACCCUUGUUCCUAGGGAAAAUAUGCACAUAUACACAUAUCUCACAUAGGUUAUAAUCUU